CAGGCAGUCCAAGCCCGGUUUAGCUAAGAGUGCUUCCAGCCAUCCCAGGCUGCAAUCACGCCUUCCUUUGCCAUCUGGGCUCUCCCCAGGUUAGUGGAACUGCUUUCUGGAAGCUUACACGACCACAUGAGAUCCACGGGGAGCUGGAGGAGCCUGGAGCCUGUCUGCAUCCCUGCCAUCUAGGACAUCAGCAGAGAAGCCACAGGUCGGGAGCUGCAAAGAUGGAUGCCUUGUGCCCUGCCCCAGCCUCCCAAGGGUAAAGGAAUAUGGCUGCACCUUUCCUUCCAUCUUCCAAGUCUCGCACAUUGCUAGGGUUUGAAUGUGUCCCCAAAUUUCACGUGCUGGAAAUUUGAUUCCCAAUAUGGCAGUAUGGAGGAAUGAGGCCUUUCAGAGGUGAUUGGUUAUGGUGAUCCUGCCCUCAUGGAUGGGUGGAUUCAUUCAUGGACUAAUGGGUUCAUGGACCAAUGGUU
rnacentral:lncRNA from 10 species